rnacentral:rRNA from 1 species
CCGGGGGACAACAGUCCGAAAGGAUUGCUAAUACCGCGUACGUCAGCGAGGUCUACGGAUCUUGUUGGGAAAGAUGGCCUCUCCUUGGAAGCUGUCACCGGAAGAUGAGCCCGCGGCCCAUCAGCUAGUUGGUGAGGUAAUGGCUCACCAAGGCAUAGACGGGUAGCUGGUCUGAGAGGAUGAUCAGCCACACUGGGACUGCGACACGGCCCAG